AAAUUUUCUAAAUAUUAUUUAUAUAUUCAUUAUAUAGUUAUAAAAUGUAAAAAUAUUUUAUGAAAUUAAAAGAAAAAGGCAAUUUUAUUAAAAUUAAGUGGGGUUGAAAUGGCAUAAAAAAAAUAGUAAAUUUAAUAGAAUUAUCUUUAAAAUUAUGAGAUCUCAAAUUUAAAAUCUAAUUAAAAUUAAUUAUGAUAAAAAACUUACUUAAUGCUUGAUAAAACUACUUUUAUGUGAGAGACGAUAUUCAACGGCACACUGACGGGAUAGUUGCAAAAACUUCCACUAAUAUUUAUAUGAGAAAUUAUAUAAUAAGGCAAUAAUUUCGUAUAGAAUAUCCUACAUAAAAUGAUAAACCAAUAAGAAUCUUACAUAUAUGUAUAGUGGAUCCUAUAAAAUUCAAUUUUUCCUACGUGUUAAAAAUAAUUUUUUCUUUUACAAAAUAUAACUACAUUUUUUUUCAAUAAAGUGUCAUUUUCUAACACCUUGGAGCCUUGCAAAUAACUGAAAACUAAAAGAAUAUAUGUCGAAAAUUGAUACAUAUUAUAUUUAUAGCUUUCAUUUAGGUUUAUUUUUAUCCUUUUUGGUAUUUUAGUUAAUUUUUAUUAAUAUUUCUUAGAGUAAUUAAUUUAAAAUUUAUUUUUUUAUUUAAUUUGUUUUUAUUGUUUUGAUGCAAGGAUUUAUUAAAAGAGUAUUAUGGUUAUCAAAAUUUUGAGAAAAAGAGAAUUGAAGGUUAAAAUGAUUUUCUCAAGUAGUACAUCUCAUGUCCUAGCUAUGAAAAUUGAAGAAAUCCUUCAACCAAACCAUGAGAAGAGGACUCAUGUGAGGAAAAAUAAAAGCAAUAGAUUUCACGGCCUGUCUGAGAGAUUUAAGCUAGGCGCAUAGGCAGUCUUAAAGAUAAAGGGAAGGCACAUUUCACCCGAUUAACUCUUGAUACCUAGGGAAAGGUCUAAGAAGAGUAAAAAAUUGAGAUGAGAAGGGGAUUUUUCAUCUAGAAGCAGGAAGAACCUUUGUUUUUGGCAUUUCAAGCAUGCAAUUUCUCACCAUUGUGCUAAAAAUGAGGGAUUUGAAGAAGUGAGAUUUGGGAGCUUGAAGGAGGAAGACAUCAUCUAUCCCUCG
rnacentral:misc_RNA from 1 species